UACGGGGGAGCAAGCGUUGUUCGGAUUUACUGGGCGUAAAGGGCGCGUAGGCGGCCACCGCAAGUCGGUUGUGAAAUCUCCGGGCUUAACCCGGAAAGGUCAAUCGAUACUGCGGGGCUAGAGUGCAGAAGGGGCAACUGGAAUUCCUGGUGUAGCGGUGAAAUGCGCAGAUAUCAGGAGGAACACCGGUGGCGAAGGCGGGUCUCUGGGCCGAUACUGACGCUGAGGAGCGAAAGCGUGGGGAGCGAACAGGA
rnacentral:rRNA from 1 species